UAUGGCAAUCAAAACUUCAAAGGGUAAGUUAAGAAUGUUUCCUAAUUCAUUUCAGCCUAAACUGAUCGCCGUGCCCCGUCUCACGCUGCCCGCCAGCUCCUUCCCUGGAAUAUGUUACCCAGUCUCCUUGGAAUUAUUACCCUGUCUCCUUGGAAUGGAAACUGUGUCAGACUCUGAGGAAACGCAGUCCUGACUGAGGGCCUGCUAGGCUCCAGGGCAGAAGACAAGCUGAGGAUUGAAAGCUGCACUCAUCAUUCUGACCUGGAACACCGCUUCUGUAAAGCUCAUUCCUACUUACACAUCAGUGCAGCUUUCGGGAUGUCGAGCCUCCUUAAUGUCCCAGUGCAUUCAUCUCCUGGCCAGUGGACCUGAGUCUGCCCCAUCCAAAUAGCGAUAGCACGUGUCCCUUGCGUUCACAGCCACUGGAUCAGAUCGAAUGGCCCUGCCUAAUUUGGAAGCAAUUGUCUUCUAUGUAUCCAAGAGGGGGAGGAGAAGCAGUAA